rnacentral:rRNA from 1 species
UACGUAGGGCGCAAGCGUUAUCCGGAAUUAUUGGGCGUAAAGAGCUCGUAGGCGGUUUGUCGCGUCUGCCGUGAAAGUCCGGGGCUCAACUCCGGAUCUGCGGUGGGUACGGGCAGACUAGAGUGAUGUAGGGGAGACUGGAAUUCCUGGUGUAGCGGUGAAAUGCGCAGAUAUCAGGAGGAACACCGAUGGCGAAGGCAGGUCUCUGGGCAUUAACUGACGCUGAGGAGCGAAAGCAUGGGAGCGAACAGGAUUA